rnacentral:rRNA from 1 species
AUUGAACGCUGGCGGCAGGCCUAACACAUGCAAGUCGAGCGGAUGAGAAGAGCUUGCUCUUCGAUUCAGCGGCGGACGGGUGAGUAAUGCCUAGGAAUCUGCCUGGUAGUGGGGGACAACGUCUCGAAAGGGACGCUAAUACCGCAUACGUCCUACGGGAGAAAGCAGGGGACCUUCGGGCCUUGCGCUAUCAGAUGAGCCUAGGUCGGAUUAGCUUGUUGGUGAGGUAAUGGCUCACCAAGGCGACGAUCCGUAACUGGUCUGAGAGGAUGAUCAGUCACACUGGAACUGAGACACGGUCCAGACUCCUACGGGAGGCAGCAGUGGGGAAUAUUGGACAAUGGGCGAAAGCCUGAUCCAGCCAUGCCGCGUGUGUGAAGAAGGUCUUCGGAUUGUAAAGCACUUUAAGUUGGGAGGAAGGGCAGUCAGCGAAUACCUGGUUGCUUUGACGUUACCGACAGAAUAAGCACCGGCUAACUCUGUGCCAGCCGCCGCCGUAA